GGUCGAGAUUCAGAAGUUCUUCGAGGAGAAGGUAAGGGAGACGUCAAAGAACGAAGGCAGCGUCUCAUCGGUCGUCAUUAACUGCAAUAAGAGCCACAAGUCAGGAGAGUCGCGCAAUCUGUGCAAAUUCUGCUGUCUUCUGCUCCAAAUGAGAACUGACCUCCCCAGGACGAAGAUGCGCAGAGGCGAAAACAGGUCGGUGUUGUUUGACGCAUGCCAUCUUGCAUCCCAGUUGAUUGGCGUGGACAGGAAAUGGGACUUGAUCGGCAAGGUCUGGGCGAAGUUGCUGAUAUACGCGGCUUGCCAAUGCAAAGGCCACGAACACUGCGAGAGCCUGAGCGGAGGAGGAGAGCUUCUCAGUCAUAUUUGGCUUCGCAUGGCGCAUCUCGGCAUUGCGGAGGCAGUAGAUACUUCCGAACCCCAAGGCCCUGCCAAACUGAUCAAAUACUAGAUGUUUCGGGUGGAAGGAGUCUUUUGGUUUAACCCUAAUGUUAUUUGAGUAAAGAAGAUAAAUAAGUGAAGCUCGUCAUCAUCUUGAUGAGAUGGUGAGGGAGUUGUUUCAAUAUUUGUUGUUCUUGGAGUCUGUCAGGAAAUAAUGAAACUGUGUGUCUGUUGUUA